rnacentral:rRNA from 1 species
GACGAACGCUGGCGGCGUGCCUAAUACAUGCAAGUCGAACGAGAGCGACCGGUGCUUGCACUGGUCAAUCUAGUGGCGAACGGGUGAGUAACACGUGGGUAACCUGCCCAUCAGAGGGGGAUAACAUCCGGAAACGGAUGCUAAAACCGCAUAGGUCUUCGAACCGCAUGGUUUUAAGAGGAAAAGAGGCGCAAGCUUCUGCUGAUGGAUGGACCCGCGGUGCAUUAGCUAGUUGGUGAGGUAACGGCUCACCAAGGCCGUGAUGCAUAGCCGACCUGAGAGUGUGAUCGGCCACAUUGGGACUGAGACACGGCCCAAACUCCUACGGGAGGCAGCAGUAGGGAAUCUUCCGCAAUGGACGCAAGUCUGACGGAGCAACGCCGCGUGAGUGAAGAAGGUUUUCGGAUCGUAAAACUCUGUUGUUAGAGAAGAACAAGUGCUAGAGUAACUGUUAGCGCCUUGACGGUAUCUAACCAGAAAGCCACGGCUAACUACGUG